UACGGAGGGGGCUAGCGUUGUUCGGAAUUACUGGGCGUAAAGCGUGCGCAGGCGGCUUUGCAAGACAGAUGUGAAAUCCCCGGGCUCAACCUGGGGACUGCAUUUGUGACUGCAAGGCUAGAGUACGGCAGAGGGGGAUGGAAUUCCGCGUGUAGCAGUGAAAUGCGUAGAUAUGCGGAGGAACACCAAUGGCGAAGGCAAUCCCCUGGGCCUGUACUGACGCUCAUGCACGAAAGCGUGGGGAGCAAACAGG
rnacentral:rRNA from 1 species